UCACAAGCAAAGACAGGGAAGAGUACAUUAGCUAUUUGCUUUUAGAGAGGAAAACCAUCAGCUGAAAGGUUUUCUAAGCGGAACUAUUGGAAGGUCGCCCUCGAGCUUCUUUCGCGAAAGGACUAUCGUCCAAGUAGUGAAAGACGGGAAAUCCGUUAUCUAUUUAAGAGUCAACUACAUCUCUAUUGUAGUUGAAAAAAAGGUGGUACCGCGAAGCAAACUCCAUUCGUCCUUUUA
rnacentral:ncRNA from 1 species